rnacentral:rRNA from 1 species
AGUGAACGCUGGCGGCGUGCCUAACACAUGCAAGUCGAGCGAAGUGGCAGCUUGUAGCAAUACAAGUAUGUACUUAGCGGCAGACGGGUGAGUAACACGUAGAGAACCUUCCCUUUAGAGGGGGAUAGCUAGCCGAAAGGCUAGGUAAUACCCCGUACGAUUCAGAGUUGGCAUCAACUUUGAAUGAAACAUCCGCAAGGAUGGCUGAAAGACGGCUCUGCGGCCUAUCAGCUAGUUGGUGAGGUAACGGCUCACCAAGGCAACGACGGGUAACCGACCUGAAAGGGUGAACGGUCACACUGACACUGAGACACGGGUCAGACACCUACGGGUGGCAGCAGUGAGGAAUCUUGGACAAUAGGGAAACCCCGAUCCAGCGACGCCGCGUGGAGGACGAAGGUCUUCGGAUUGUAAACUCCUUUUAUCUGGGAAUAAAC